UACAGAGGUCUCAACCGUUGUUCGGAUUCAUUGGGCGUAAAGGGUGCGUAGGCGGUCGCGCAAGUCGGAUGUGAAAUCUCAGGGCUCAACCCUGAAACUGCAUUCGAUACUGCGUGGCUAGAGUGCUGGAGAGGAGACUGGAAUUUACGGUGUAGCAGUGAAAUGCGUAGAUAUCGUAAGGAAGACCAGUGGCGAAGGCGGCAUCCUGGACCGAUAUUGACGCUGAUGCGCGAAAGCCAGGGGAGCAAACGGG
rnacentral:rRNA from 1 species